rnacentral:rRNA from 1 species
CCUACGGGAGGCUGCAGUGGGGAAUAUUGCGCAAUGGGCGAAAGCCUGACGCAGCGACGCCGCGUGAGGGAUGAAGGUCUUCGGAUCGUAAACCUCUGUCAGCAGGGAAGAACGGUCACUGUGCUAAUCAGCAGUGAAUUGACGGUACCUGCAAAGGAAGCACCGGCUAACUCCGUGCCAGCAGCCGCGGUAAUACGGAGGGUGCGAGCUUUAAUCGGAAUUAAGUGGCGUAAAGCGCUCGUAGGCGGUAUGUCAAGUCAAGGGUGAAAUCCCCGCGCUCAACGUGGGAACUGCCUUUGAAACUGGAGAACUGGAGUGUGUGAGAGGAUAGUGGAAUUCCAGGUGUAGGAGUGAAAUGCGUAGAUAUCUGGAGGAACAUCAGUGGCGAAGGCGACUAUCUGGCACAUAACUGACGCUGAGGAGCGAAAGCGUGGGUAGCAAACAGGAUUAGAUACCCCAGUAGUC